GAAGGUCCGAACCGACCGAUGUUGAAAAAUCGGCGGAUGAGUUGUGGUUAGCGGUGAAAUACCAGUCGAACUCGGAGCUAGCUGGUUCUCCCCGAAAUGCGUUGAGGCGCAGCAGUCAGCAAGACUAUCUAGGGGUAAAGCACUGUUUCGGUGCGGGCGGCGAAAGCUGUACCAAAUCGUGGCAAACUAUGAAUACUAGAUAUG
rnacentral:rRNA from 14 species